rnacentral:rRNA from 1 species
AUUGAACGCUGGCGGCAGGCCUAACACAUGCAGGUCGAGCGGAUGAAGGGAGCUUGCUCCUGGAUUCAGCGGCGGACGGGUGAGUAAUGCCUAGGAAUCUGCCUGGUAGUGGGGGAUAACGUCCGGAAACGGGCGCUAAUACCGCAUACGUCCUGAGGGAGAAAGUGGGGGAUCUUCGGACCUCACGCUAUCAGAUGAGCCUAGGUCGGAUUAGCUAGUUGGUGGGGUAAAGGCCUACCAAGGCGACGAUCCGUAACUGGUCUGAGAGGAUGAUCAGUCACACUGGAACUGAGACACGGUCCAAACUCCUACGGGAGGCAGCAGUGGGGAAUAUUGGACAAUGGGCGAAAGCCUGAUCCAGCCAUGCCGCGUGUGUGAAGAAGGUCUUCGGAUUGUAAAGCACUUUAAGUUGGGAGGAAGGGCAGUAAGUUAAUACCUUGCUGUUUUGACGUUACCAACAGAAUAAGCACCGGCUAACUUCGUG